GUACAGCAUACAAAAAGGUCUAAUAAAAUUGUGUGGGGACAACAUCAAUUCAAGAUAACAGCGGACAUAGAAGCUGGGGAGUAUACAUGCGAGUGCAAACAGUGGGAACAUACAGGUCUAUUGUGUGUUCAUCUUUUAAGAGCCUUCAUGCAUCUUCAAGUUGAAAAGAUACCUUCAAAAUAUAUAUUGCAAAGGAAGAAGAGUUGAAUAAAAAUAAUGCUGGCGAUGGGAUGGAAGAUGACAAUACAAUUACAUGCCAUAACAAGG